GACGAACGCUGGCGGCGUGCUUAACACAUGCAAGUCGAACGGAAAGGCCCUGCUUUUGUGGGGUGCUCGUGUGGCUAACGUGUGAGUAACACGUGAGUAACCUGCCCUUGACUUUGGGAUAACUUCAGGAAACUGGGGCUAAUACCGGAUAGGAUCUCCUGCUGCAUGGUGGUGGUUGGAAAGUUUCGGCGGUUGGGGAUGGACUCGCUGCUUAUCAGCUUGUUGGUGGGGUAGUGGCUUACCAAGGCUUUGACGGGUAUCCGGCAUGGGAGGGUGGACGGCGAAAUUGGGACUGAGAUACGGAGCAGAAUGGAACGGGAGGCAGCAGUGGGGAAUAUUGCAGAAUGGGAGGAAGGGUGAUGCAGAAACGCAGCGUGCGGGAUGAGGGCCUUCGGGUUGAAAAACGCAUUCGCAUGUGACGAAGAGAGAGUGACGGUAAUGGGUAAAGAAGCAACGGCUAACUACGUG
rnacentral:rRNA from 1 species